rnacentral:ncRNA from 1 species
GAUCCGUAACUUCGAGAGAAGGAUUGGAUCCGGGGGCCGAGUCAGACAGGCCGAGAUCAGAUACGUGUCGGUGCAGUUGGGGGCUGGUUUCUUUGCUGCUUUGUGUGCUUCGGUGCGCGUUGUGGUUAGGUUACUGGACUCUGAACCGGGUCGAUCGUGGGCGGUUUCAGCUAUUAGUGUCGUGCAGUCAGCAGCGCGUGAGGACAUGUUCCACGUUGCGUCAAGUGGCUGUACUUCCAUGGUCUGGCGCGCGACGGCUAACUCAGAACGGACACGGACCAUGGGAAUCCGACUGUCUAAUUAGAAAAAAGCAUUGCGAUGUCCACUGAUUAUGAUUUCUGCCCAGUGCUCUAGAUGUCAAAGUGAAGAAAUUCAACAAGCGCGGGUAAACAACGGUAGUAACUAUGACUUCAAGAACUCCAAACGAUGAGAAACUACUACCCUUACAAAGAAACUUAUGCAUGUUGAACAAAUUAGCUC